rnacentral:sRNA from 1 species
AAGUGCAACAUACAUUGCUCUCAUGUGAUUGUUGAAUGUUUGGUAAGCAUUACUGCUGAAAUAAUACAUAGCUGGAUUCCAAAAUUUGCACUGUUUGAUUAUCUUGGCCUGCAUAUUUUUUUUAGCAGAAUUUGUAGAGUAGCGUGUGUUGCGUUCACUAGCUCCAUGUCUCGGCCUCAUGGGGGAAGUUUUCAAUAGAUUUGCUCUGCCAAGUUCAGAGUAGAACUGUAGAAGAUUGUCUUGUGCGAUGGAGCAGAGAAAACAAUCAUUGAAAGUAGUUCAUAAGUGUGAGGGCAUUAGGGCAAAGUGGCGAAGGAAUUUGGCUUUUGUGAUCACAUGAGGCUGCUCUUAUAAUCUGCAAACCUGUCAAUCUAAUAUGCAAAUGCAGUUUAAUUAGUGACAGACUGUUCAUCCUUUUGCAGCUCCAUUGUCACAGGGAAUCUCGAAGGCUUGUCAAGAAUGCUGGUCCUCAUCCCCUUCAGAACUGAAGAUAUAAUGGAGGAGGCUCAAAUACAUAUGACGAUCACGACAACAUUCUUUUCUGCAUUUCUUUUCAUUUUUUGGCCGGAGCCAAUGUAAUUCUCUUUUCUUUCGUUGCCCUUGUAAUUUGCUUCAAAUACUAAACUAUAGCGAGGCUGCUCCUCCAUUAUGUACCUGCCGAUAGAGUUUGCAGAUAUGUAUAGAAAGUGCCAUUGUUUUCAUCUGAUAAACGAGAUCAAUAUAUCAUGUGGUGUUCCGUUUU